rnacentral:lncRNA from 1 species
UCAAAAAUAGAUUUAUAGCAGAGCAUAGCAGAUACAACACAUAAUCCUACCUCUAGCCGCUACACACCACCUUCGUCCAUCCCAACACACCAUAUGGGUACAAAACACCGAUCUAUCCUUACACACCACUUAGUGUCCAUAGGACACUUUACAGAAUAGUUACAGCUGAGUUGUCGGAUCAAUAAGUGAUUUAUCACCUUUUACAGAAUCAUUUCCUCCACAUGUUAUUUACAACCCAACCCAUAUGCAGAUACAUAGUACAUAAAUUAUCAUACAUAUUCAACCAGAAAUUAAACGUGACAUAGCUUUACAUGUACAACAUAACAAAUACGAACCACAUACUUACAUACAUAUACAGAUUUAUUACUCAUUCGGUGUUUCCAUUACUCUUAUGGAUAGUAGAAUUUGUAUCAAUAAAAGUCCAGAUUUCAUAUUUUAUAAUGUAUUUAGUCUCAUACCAACCCUACGGAAGGCCCACGAUCAUUUGGGACGAUGUGUACGGCCCUAGGGAAAAAUCUUAAAUUUUGGGCACAUACGUCCGGGUACACCUGUAUGGCCCACACGACCUAAAAUAGCCCAGACCAUGUGUCGCACAUGGCCCAGAAAAUAGUCUGUCACACGACCAAUAGUGCCCAAUUUUAGUUUUUUUCGUUCGUUGUUUUUCGGGUUUCUCAUUACACACCUUGACUGGUUCUGAUGCGAAAACACCCACAAGUCUUUUCGAGCUUAUACGCAUCCAUUAGAACCUAAAUCAACAACAUACCUAUAAGAGUUAAAAAUAUAUAUAAACCCUCAAUUACAUCCUAAAAAGAAUACCAAAGUAACCACUUAAAAUUCAAGAACAUAAUAACACCUUACCACUUAACAAACAACACGGCGAAAAUUAAUCUGUCGGAAGAACACCAAUCAUCUCAUGACUCUCCACUUUCUACGCACAAAAGAAGAGCACAAAAUUAUAGUCAAUUCUAAAAGCCAAUUGCACAUCGCAAGUUUAAUGCCACAUACGAAACUCAAACCUAUGAAAGAUAGAACACCAAAUUACCUAACGAAAGACCAACAAGAGGGUGAAAAGUAGAAUCACGGUAAGGGAAUAAAUAAAAAUUAAAUGGCAACCAAACGAUGAUGGAAAAACUAAAGAGUAGGAACAAUAGAAGAAAAGCAAGGCAAAAGCCAAAUUGAAAUCAAUCGUAGGGUAGAAAGACAGCGCAAUAGAAGGAAGAAG